GGGUGCGAUCAUACCAGCACUAAUGCACCGGAUCCCAUCAGAACUCCGCAGUUAAGCAUGCUUGGGCGAGAGUAGUACUAGGAUGGGUGACCUCCUGGGAAGUCCUCGAGUUGCACCCCUC
rnacentral:rRNA from 1 species